rnacentral:tRNA from 1 species
GGUGGGUUGGCUCAGUGGUUAGAGCGUAGGUCUCGAAAACCUCAGCGAGAAUACCCACCU